rfam:Schistosoma margrebowiei strain Zambia genome assembly, scaffold: SMRZ_scaffold0000324
AUUUAGCUGAUGAGUUCCAAAUAGAUUGAAACGCGCGUUCUGGAU